rnacentral:rRNA from 1 species
AAUGAACGCUGGCGGCAUGCCUAACACAUGCAAGUCGAGCGAAUGAAGGGGGCUUGUUCCCGGAUGCCGCGGCGGACGGGUGAGUAAUGCCCAGGAAUCUGCCUUGUCGUGGGGAAUAGCGUACGGAAACGGGAGCUAAUCCAGCAUCCGACAAGAGAGUGAAAGGGGGGGAUCUUCGGUCAUCACGGGAUCAGCUGUGCCUAGGUCGGAUUAGCUAGUUGGUGAGGUAAAGGCGUACCAAGGCGACGAUCCGUAACUGGUCUGAGAGGAUGAUCAGUCACACUGGAACUGAGACACGGUCCAGACUCCUACGGGAGGCAGCAGUGGGGAAUCUUGGGCAAUGGGCGAAAGCCUGAUCCAGCCAUGCCGCGUGUGUGAUGAAGGUCUUCGGAUUGUAAAGCACUGUAAGUUGGGAGGAAGGACAGUAAGUUUAUACCUGGCUGUUUUGACGGUACCUACAGAAUAAGCCCCGGCUAACUUCGUG